UUCUAUAGUUUAUUAGUGCAUAUUUUUACUGAUUUUAUUUGAUUUAAAGUAAAAUUUAUUAUUGCAAAAAAAAUGUUCAGACCUAGAUCUUUGACAGUUUUUAAAUAUUAAUGUUAAUAUAUACAUUACAUUAGCAUCAAUCUAAGACCAUUAACUUAAUCAUGGAAUAAGUAAUAUUAUAUAUAAUGAAAAUUUGUCACUUAUUUUUAUUAGAUCAUAAUUAUAAAAUGAGAGAGAGAAACAGAAUGAGUAAGAGAGUGUGAGAGAGAGAAAGAUGUAUGAAUGCAUGUGUGUAUGUAUAAAAUCAUGUGCUUACCGUGACUUAAGUAUAUUAAAAAUAUAUAUUUUGAAAUAUAAACUUUGACUUAAUACAGCAAAUAAGGUGUGGUUGUACCAUCAUGGACCUGAUAGUACCACCUUGAUGGUUUAGACCUACUGUACAUCAAGCGUUGUAAAGUCUCUUACACUACAAUAAGUGGCAAUUUUUUUCAUAAAGAAAAUGGACUGAUAUGGACAUGGUUUUGGAACUCAUACUGGUAACUUAAUGAUAUACCAAUAGAAGUUACAUGCUAGAAUGUUCUUCUGGUUCCUAAAUGUUUCCUAUUUUUGACUUUACUGUUCCAUUGUUUUGUCGUAAUAGUUCCUAUAUAAGCAAGCUAUUUAAGUUGGUUUUAAAGCUAGUCAAGCUGCUUGGUAAAUUAACUUUAAUGAUGCAUAUAAAAGACUUUUCCAAAAGUAGUUGGCAUGAUGUAAUCCAUGAAAUAUGUUUAAAGCUAAUCUUGCUAAAAGAUGAUUUAAACAACACAAGACCAGGGAAUAGCGCAAUAUCAUUUGCAGUAGUUAUUUACAUGAAACAAUGAGACAAUAUACUAAUUUAGUUAUAAAACGUCUUAUGUUUUUAACAAUUAUUGCUAAUAAAA